GUUAAAUAUUAAUGAAAUUUUUAUAAUUUACUCAAAAUUAGCUAACUCAAGAUGGAAAAGCAUGCUCAUUCCCAGCUGCAGCAUUUAGUAAAUAGUAAUUUAAGUGAGAGAAAGAGGAAAAAUACAACACAAAAAAGGAAAGUAUGAAUUCUAUUGAUCAGAAUAAUUAUUUCAGAAUUAAAUAAAACAUAUAAUUAAUUACCCAAUAAUUAAAAAAAUCUCAAGUUUUUUCCUAAUUUUUUCCAUUAUUUGAUAAAAUAAUAAGUUUUUUCAUGUUCUAAAAUCAAACUAAGCAUUAUCAAAUGAACAUAAUUAAUCUGAUUAAACCUCUAAUUACUGUAAUUAUGAAUAUAUGCAAUUUCUGAAAAGAUAGAUAUGAAGAAGAAGAAGA
rnacentral:misc_RNA from 1 species